UGUUAAUAAUAUAUUUUAUUUUUGUAAUGUUAAUAAUUUAAAUUGUCAGUAUUGCCGUAUUAUGUUUGAACUGUUUGAAGAAUAAAAGAGGUUAAACAUGGCUGAUCAUCGGGUCAAGGUGAUCAAUCUAUCGGUUUUAAUCCAAAUGACGGUCAAGUGGGGAUUUUAAGAGAUACACUAGUAAAUAAAGUUUGUCGUUGAUUACUCAGUUAUAAGUUUGAAAAAGAAUCUCAGUAAAGGAUUAACAAAAUUGCAAUGUUGGCAUGAAAAUAGAAUAUCAUACGCAGGUCACUGAAUGCAACACGUGAACUUCUGCUGAAAGAGACGUUUGAAAUGGCGAUGGUUAUCAUUUGCUUUCUAUGGAACAAUGGCAGAACCCUUUAAAAACCUCGAGGGAUUUUCCCCUAAAACACAUACCGAGAUUGGAUACAACGUAUUAUCAUUUUCCAAGUUGAAACCAAACCUUGUAUCACAAUACAGCAUCACAUGCCUCAAGCAAUGUACUGUUCGCAAGGAAUGUAGAUAUGGGGUGACAAUCCGUUUGGACUUAGAUAUGUUGUAGUAGGUAUAUAACGUUCGGAGCGGGUUAAAAAUAUUACACACGGUGAAUCAAAAGUGUCGUGCAGAGAGAAUUCGACAUUUUAAUUAAAAAGUAUGUAUGUUGGAUUUAAUUGUAUUAUUUUUAAUACCUAAUAAAUAUUAUAUUAACGA